rnacentral:rRNA from 1 species
UACGAAGGGGGCUAGCGUUGCUCGGAAUCACUGGGCGUAAAGGGCGCGUAGGCGGACUUUUAAGUCGGGGGUGAAAGCCCAGGGCUCAACCCUGGAAUUGCCUUCGAUACUGGGAGUCUUGAGUUCGGAAGAGGUUGGUGGAACUGCGAGUGUAGAGGUGAAAUUCGUAGAUAUUCGCAAGAACACCGGUGGCGAAGGCGGCCAACUGGUCCGAUACUGACGCUGAGGCGCGAAAGCGUGGGGAGCAAACAGG